AUUGCUUCUUGGCCUUUUGGCUAAGAUCAAGUGUAAAAAAUUCCAAUCUACAUUUAUAUUUACACUACUUUAUUAACAGAGAUUAGCACCUAACAGCUAGCUUCCUGAUCCUGAUUCAGUACGGAAGGAAACAGUGAAAAUUGUCAAACCAU
rnacentral:snRNA from 2 species